rnacentral:lncRNA from 1 species
NNAGCACCGGGCACCGCGAAGAGCUUUUAGGGAAAAACCUGGCUGUUUGGGGGUGCGGGCUGGCACGGGGUCCCCCGCCACAGCCCGGCCAGGCCCGGGAGCCGGCGCCGUCGGGCAGCACGGAGCGGGCUGCAGGCCGCCUCGGCGGCGCGGCUGGAAAAGGCCCGUCGGAAAAUUGCUCCAGCCCUGCCCCGACGUGCGGAGCUCGGCCCCGGGAAGGGGGACCCGGUACCGGGAGGAGCAGCGGGACGGACGGUCACCCCGGCCCUGAGGACGCUGCCGAGCCGCUGCGGCGGAGCAGGGAGCGGGGCCCCCUCGGGGCCGGAGCCCGCUCGGCCUAAUCGGGGCCCCGGUCGGGACCGGGACCGAGAUCGGGUCGCGGCGGCCUCCGCCCCGUCGGCUCUCCCCGGCCAAGCCCUCGCCCUUCCCGCAGUGGGGAGAAGCCGCCUCUUCCGACGGCGCCAGCCCGAGUCUCCUUCCCCGGGAAGGGAAUUAUUUCUCUGGGGAAAAAGCCUCGGGUGUCCGGGGCCGCCCGGGCCGCGGAGCCGCGGGGCAGCGGCGGCGGCGGCGGCGGCGGGUGGGAGGGGCACAGCGGGAGCGGGCGAAGCGCGGCCCCUCGCCCGGGAUCCGCGGCCGGUGGCACCGGGGACGGGGCCCGGAGAGGCGGCGGCGAAGGACGGGUCGGUCCCCGCCGUGGGGAAGCGACGGAGGGAGAAAGGAAGGAGCGAAGGGGGAGAGGAGCGGAGCGGAGCGAGCGCGCCGUCUUCGGCGAGGCCGUGCCAGGCUGGCUGGAGCCGGCUGCCAGGCGGCGGAGCCGUGCGGGAAGGGCUGGCGGCCCCCGCCGCGCCGGGGACAUCUGCUCGCCACCGGCGCCUCGCUCGGGAAGGGCUCGGUACCGGCGGAGCCGCGCUCCCCGCCCGCCGCCUCACGGAACGGGCUGCGGGUUUGUCCCGGUUUAACACCGCGAUUUCGCGGCGCUGGGUUGUAUUUUUAAUUCCUGUUAUUUUGUUUCCCCAGCGCCCGCCCGGCUCCGCCGAAGCGAGACGGUGCAAACACUUGCCCGGGUGCUACGGGAACGAGCCGGCCCCGCAAUGCGGCCCCGCACACGGGGCAAGGCUCCGGUGCCCGGCUCCGGUGCAAAGCUCCCGUGCCCGGCUCCGGUGCACGGUCCCGGUGAAAGGCUCCGGUGCACGGCCCUGAUGCAAAGCUCCCGUGCACGGCCCUGGUGCACAGCCCCGGUGCACGGCUCCGGUGCAAGGCUCCGGUGCCCGGCUCCGGUGCCCGGCCCGCACCCGCGGACACGAUGCGCAGCAGCCGUGCGCUCGUCGCCGCCGGGGGAAGGCAGGAGGUCGCGAUCUGCCACCGCCACCCCGCCGGGAUCCGCUAAGAUUUCGUGUGAUCGCAGGGUCCAAGUCGCCGCGGGGCGGAGGGGAUUCGUGUGAAACCGGCCGGCUCGGGCGGGGCCGGGUGCGUGGAGGGUCGGGGGACGGAGGGACGGAGGGAUGGAGGGAUGAAAGGAUGGAGGACGGAGGAAUGGAAGAACGGAGGGAUGAAGGGAUGGAGGGACAAGGGAUCGGUGAAGGGGCUGGCCGGAGCGGCGGAGAGCGGCAGGGCCGGGGCAGGGAGCGCAGCCGCUGAGGGCACCGAGCAGGGGCACGUUUCGCCUCCCAAAUGCCUGGGCUCAGCCCACCUAUUUCCAGGCAGGAUCGGAGCGGGGGAAGGGGGGGGGAUUUCUGCGCCCACCUCCCCUUCGGCCCCGGGAUCGAGC